rnacentral:tRNA from 1 species
UCCCUGGUGGUUCAGUAGUUAGGACUCUGCACUUUCACUACGAAGGGCCCAGGUUCAAUCCCUGAUCAGGGAG